UAAGGUGUUAUGCAUCAUCUUUUCAUGUGAAACUUGGUCACUUUCUUUUCAGUUUAAUGGGCAGAACACCUUUUUCUAAAGGUAAGGCAGAGCACGAAUUUUCUCAAUUCAAAAAGACCGGUUACCUUCCAUAUGUUUGUAUCAAGGUCUACUUCAUGCUUCCCCGACAUAUCAAUUGCAUCCACACUUAGAACUACCACGGUUGAAG
rnacentral:lncRNA from 1 species